rnacentral:lncRNA from 1 species
CCGUGCAAAGAUAUAAAAUUCAGAUUUCUUUUAGAUCUUUAAUCUUGUAUUUAAUGUUGAUGCCUGACUUUAUUUUGAGAUAUGAUCUCUUUAUACAUGCUAGAGUAGAUUAGAUUUAAUUGAAAAAUUAUUUUAGUAUCAUUCUGACAUAAGAUUGUCCUGACAUAAUGGUAGAAUAUUAUGUUCAACGAUUGCUCUAAAAUGAUGUUGAAGUAAUAUAAAAAAUUUUAUUUUCACUGCAUACUGUCUAUUUUUAAAAUUUUUAAAAUUUUUGUAUGCAUAUCUAUCGCCAUGUGAUGUCGAUAUCCAACACCACCACCAAGCCGUCGACUACCUCUUUGCUAGCCACAUAUCUUUUGAUGUAUCUUCACUGCCACCGGUGGUGAUGUGACCUCCAAACCAAGCUCCAAGAUCUCAACAACCACCCUGAUGUGCCCUGGGCCUUCGUGAUCUUUUGAUAAAUCUCAUGAUCCAAGUUUGGUGAACUCAUCCUCGGUAGGGCAAUGACGAGCAAGGGUGGUGAAUGCGACCGUCACGGCCACCACGAGGUUCAGGAUGGGGUGAUGGUGGUGGUGGGGAGG